GUCCGCACGGUAAACGAUGGAUGCCCGCUGUUGGCGAUAUAAUGUCAGCGGCCAAGCGAAAGCGUUAAGCAUCCCACCUGGGGAGUACGCCGGCAACGGUGAAACUCAAAGGAAUUGACGGGGGCCCGCACAAGCGGAGGAACAUGUGGUUUAAUUCGAUGAUACGCGAGGAACCUUACCCGGGCUUGAAUUGCACAGGAAUGAUUCAGAGAUGAUGAAGCCCUUCGGGGCCUGUGUGAAGGUGCUGCAUGGUUGUCGU
rnacentral:rRNA from 1 species